rnacentral:lncRNA from 12 species
AGCUAAAUCACCUUUCUUGACAGAGGAAAAAUGGUGCUUCAUCACAUGAAACUGUCAGAGGAAGAUCACACUGCUUACUUUGAGAAGCCAACAGGAAACUGUGGAAGAUCUAUUCCUUCUUGAAAGACCUGGGCCAUGGUUGUCCAAGUCUUCUUAGGUGUCAUCAUUCACUAUAAUAUUUCUCAUCAAUCAGUUACCAUCCUAAAAGGAUCAGCUGAAGGCCAUCAAUUGCAUCGAACAUCCUAAGAAGAAAGAAUCACACCUGGCCAGCAUCCUAAUAGUGAGCAACCUUUCUGCUUUCCUCAAGAGUCAACAGAAAAAGAUGAAGACUCUGACACUGCUGGCAUGCAUUUGUGCACUGACUGCUUGCUUCUCACUCUGUGAAGGUUGGAAAAAGCAAGGGAAAAUACAUCACAAAAGGAAUAAUGUCCAACAAUAUACAUUAGACCGCCGAUUACCAACUCAUCUCAAAUUUCACCCUAACUGGAAUAUAUUAAUUCAAAAGCAUUUAAUUUUUGGUCCACACAGAUACCCAAAGCGUCCAAAUCCAAACAGAAGAAAACCAAAGCCGACCCGUCCCCAGCCACCUAAAUGUCCAACUAAAACUAACACCGUUGUUAGUAGCACCUCAGAGGCCAACACUCAAAUCCCAUCUUUGAGUCCCAUAACUACUUCCAACAAAAUUGUUAAAUCUCCAGCUACCCCAUCAACACAACCUUCCCCCGCCCUGCCAGACACCACAGCUGCCCCACCUACAUCUUCCCUAACUACACCAGCACCACAACCUUCCUCACCUCUACUGGACCACACAACUGCCCCAAAUACCACACCUAAUCCUUCCCCAACCACUCCUGCUUCUCCAACUUCCAAAACUACAACUGCACCCACCACCCAAACUACUACUCCGGCCACUACUCUAACUACUACUGUUGAACAAACAACCUCACCUUCCAGCCAAAAUGCAAAUUCUCAAUUCUGGCAAUAUAUUUAUGAGUUAAUAAAGUACAUUUCUGGUAUUACACCAAAGAAAUAGUACAUCAUACAUUAUGAAGUGUUCUGUUGUCAGACAUGAGUUAUGAGUUAUUUUUGCCACCAAUCUCAAAGUGAAAUAACAAUAUUCUUCAAAUUUAAAGCACUAUCACUAAUCUUUGAAUCUAUUUACCUCACAUGACUUAUUAACAAGAAAAACCACCUCUAUCUCACAAAACAAGUGCAUAACUUUAAUAGAUCACUUUGUGGAACCUAUAGAGACAGCCCUCUGAGGGGGGAAAAGACAUUAACUAAACAGACAAAAUUACAUGGAUCAGGAAACAUUUAUUUUUCCCUAAAUGAUGGAAACCAUAAGGUCACUAUUCUAUACCCUCAACCAAGAACUCACCUGAAUUGUCUAAUCCCACAAAUAUAAAGGGAUAAUAUCAUGUCUCUCAAACAAAAACAUGUAAAUAUAGAUUAACCUAUAUUGUAGGUUAAUCAUUGUAUUACUGGUUAGAGACAAAAAUUCUUUAAACAAUCAUCCUAAAGCCUUAAAUCCAAUUCCAUUCCACAAAAUGUGAACCAAGGAAGGGAAAGUUGAUUUGAAGUGAAGAUUUGAAGUUAGUGAAAAUGAAAUCUGGCAGCCAAGCACAAACCAGGUCCCUGGCACUAUGUAUUUGAGAGCAUAUGAUUGUUUAGACGUAUGGUUGAUUUUAAUUGUAUUAUAUCUAAGUUAAUUUGCAUCCAAUGUACUUGAUUCUAGCCUCUGUGAAUCACAAAAAACUUUUUGUGUAUGUUCACAUGGUGGUAAUAAUAUUUUACUAUGAAUUCAAUUAAUUUCAUCUUACUAAUUCAAUUAAUUCAAUGUGAAAUGUAUUCAGCAGCAGAAUAUUUUCUAAAACUUUUAGCCAUACAUUUAAAUGUGUUUUAAAGCAAACCAUACUAAACUACUGCCCUGGUGUUACAUUUGCAAAACUGUCUCUGAAAAUAAACCCUGAUUGUAGUCAAUAGGAGAAUAACA